rnacentral:rRNA from 1 species
GCGGGGGGUACGCAGGGAAGUGAAACAUCUCAGUACCUGCAGGAAGGGAUACUCCGUGAGUAGUGGCGAGCGAAAGCGGAUCAGACCAAACCGCGCGCGCGUGAUACCCGUCGGGGGUUGCGUGCGCGGUGUUGAGGGAGCGCGUGUCCCGGUUCCGACGGACCGGGCGGGAGUCAUAAAGCGGCUUGCCAGGGGAACAGGCUUGAAGGCCUGGCCGCAGAGGGUGCCAGCCCCGUACCUGGACGCUUGCCGUCUUCCGAUCGCGUGUCCCAAGUAGCGCGGGCCUCGUGGAAUCCCGCGUGAAUCCGCACCGACCGUGGUGUAAGUCUAAGCAUACCUGUCUGACCGAUAGCGUACCAGUACCGUGAGGGAAAGGUGAAAAGCACCCCGGGAGGGGAGUGAAACAGUUCCUGAAACCGUGCGCCCACAAACCGUCGGAGCCUCUGUGUGGGGUGACGGCGUGCCUAUCGAAAAAUGAGUCUGCGAGUCAGUGGCGGGUGGCGAGCAUAAGCCGUGUGGCGUAUGCGUAGCGAAAGCGAGUCUUAAAAGGCGUUUUUAGUCGCUUGUCCUGGACCCGAAGCGGGAUGAUCUAGCCCUGGGCAGGUUGAAGCGCGGGUAAGACCGCGUGGAGGACCGAACCCACCUGGGUUGAAAACCGGGGGGAUGACCUGGGGCUAGGGGUGAAAGGCCAAUCAAAUUCCGUGAUAGCUGGUUCUCUCCGAAAUGCAUUUAGGUGCAGCGUCGGUCGAUUGCGUCGCGGGGGUAGAGCUACCGGAUGCUUGCGGGCCCUUGUUGGGUACCAACAGCAGCCGAACUCCGAAUACCGUUGACGUGUAUUCCGGCAGUGAGUCGGCGGGGGAUAAGCUCCGUCGUCGAGAGGGAGACAGCCCAGACCGUCGUCUAAGGUCCCGAAGCGUGUGCUAAGUGGGAAAGGAUGUGGAGUCGCAUAGACAGCCAGGAGGUUGGCUCAGAAGCAGCCAUCCUUGAAAGAGUGCGUAACAGCUCACUGGUCUAGUGGUUCCGCGCCGACAAUGUAGCGGGGCUCAAGCACACCACCGAAGACGCGGCAGCAAUCUUCAUGGUUGCUGGGUAGGAGAGCGUCCUGCAUGGGGCGAAGCGGCCGGGUAACCGUGCCGUGGACCGUGUGGGAGUGAGAAUGCAGACAUGAGUAGCGAGAGACGGGUGAGGAUCCCGUCCGCUGGAUGACCAAGGGUUCCGGGGCCACGUUCGUCGUCCCCGGGUGAGUCGGGUCCUAAGGCGAGGCCGACAGGCGUAGUCGAAUGGAUGAACGGGUGGAUAUUCCCGUACCGACCAUGGACCGGCAAAACCGAGACGGUGAGUACUAACCUCCGCCUCGUGGUGGUUCCUUCCUUCGGGUUGGUUCCGCCGCGUGGUGUUGGGACCGUAGCCGCAGUAGGUCAGCGCAGGGGUGACACGGAAUGGGAGCCGGCCGCGGAGGUGGUUUUCCGUGGUCAAGCACGCAGCCAGUCAUGUAGGCAAAUCCGCAUGGCGCGCAUGGCGAGGUGUGAUGAUGGGAGCCGUUAUGGCUCGAUAUCCGGUUGUCCAGGCCGUCGAGAAAAGCCUCGGCGUGAGGGCCAUGGCCGCCCGUACCCCAAACCGACACUGGUGGUCAGGUAGAGAAUACCAAGGCGAUCGAGCGAAUCCUGGUCAAGGAACUCGGCAAACCGCUCCCGUGCCUUCGGCAUAAGGGAGACCCCCGCGGGUGAACGGACAUGCUCCGGGAGCGUGUGGGGGUGGCACAGACCAGGGGGUAGCGACUGUUUACCAAAAACACAGGUGCAUGCGAAGGCGAAAGCCGCUGUAUAUGCACUGACGCCUGCCCGGUGCCGGAAGGUUAAGAGGAUCCGUCAGCCUUCGGGUGAAGCGGUGAAUUCAAGCCCCGGUAAACGGCGGUGGUAACUAUAACCAUCCUAAGGUAGCGAAAUUCCUUGUCGGGUAAGUUCCGACCUGCACGAAUGGCGUAACGACUUCCCCACUGUCUCGACCAGGAGCUCGGCGAAAUUGCAGUACGAGUAAAGAUGCUCGUUAAGCGCAGAAGGACGAAAAGACCCCGGGACCUUUACUAUACCUUGGUAUUGGCGUUAGGCGCGGAUUGUGUAGCAUAGGCGGGAGGCUUCGAAGCGUGGGCGCCAGCUCAUGUGGAGCCGCAAGGUGAAAUACCGCUCUGUUCUCGUUUGACGUCUAACCUCGACAAGUCAUCCUUGUCAGGGACAGUGCCUGGCGGGUAGUUCAACUGGGGCGGUUGCCUCCCAAAGAGUAACGGAGGCGCUCAAAGGUCCGCUCAGC